rnacentral:rRNA from 1 species
GUCUGAUUAGGUAGUUGGUGGGGUAACGGCCUACCAAGCCGACGAUCAGUAGCCGACCUGAGAGGGUGACCGGCCACAUUGGGACUGAGACACGGCCCAGACUCCUACGGGAGGCAGCAGUGGGGAAUAUUGCACAAUGGGGGAAACCCUGAUGCAGCGACGCCGCGUGGAGGAAGAAGGUCUUCGGAUUGUAAACUCCUGUUGUUGAGGAAGAUAAUGACGGUACUCAACAAGGAAGUGACGGCUAACUACGUGCCAGCAGCCGCGGUAAAACGUAGGUCACAAGCGUUGUCCGGAAUUACUGGGUGUAAAGGGAGCGCAGGCGGGAAGACAAGUUGGAAGUGAAAUCUAUGGGCUCAACCCAUAAACUGCUUUCAAAACUGUUUUUCUUGAGUAGUGCAGAGGUAGGCGGAAUUCCCGGUGUAGCGGUGGAAUGCGUAGAUAUCGGGAGGAACACCAGUGGCGAAGGCGGCCUACUGGGCACCAACUGACGCUGAGGCUCGAAAGUGUGGGUAGCAAACAGGAUUAGAUACCCUGGUAGUCCACACCGUAAACGAUGAUUACUAGGUGUUGGAGGAUUGACCCCUUCAGUGCCGCAGUUAACACAAUAAGUAAUCCACCUGGGGAGUACGACCGCAAGGUUGAAACUCAAAGGAAUUGACGGGGGCCCGCACAAGCAGUGGAGUAUGUGGUUUAAUUCGACGCAACGCGAAGAACCUUACCAAGUCUUGACAUCCUGCGACGAUGCUGGAAACAGUAUUUUCCUUCGGGACGCAGAGACAGGUGGUGCAUGGUUGUCGUCAGCUCGUGUCGUGAGAUGUUGGGUUAAGUCCCGCAACGAGCGCAACCCUUAUGGUCAGUUACUACGCAAGAGGACUCUGGCCAGACUGCCGUUGACAAAACGGAGGAAGGUGGGGAUGACGUCAAAUCAUCAUGCCCUUUAUGACUUGGGCUACACACGUACUACAAUGGCGUUAAACAAAGAGAAGCAAGACCGCGAGGUGGAGCAAAACUCAGAAACAACGUCCCAGUUCGGACUGCAGGCUGCAACUCGCCUGCACGAAGUCGGAAUUGCUAGUAAUCGCAGAUCAGCAUGCUGCGGUGAAUACGUUCCCGGGCCUUGUACACACCGCCCGUCACACCAUGAGAGCCGGGGGGACCCGAAGUCGGUAGUCUAACCGCAAGGAGGACGCCGCCGAAGGUAAAACUGGUGAUUGGGGUGAAGUCGUAACAAGGUAGCCGUAGGAGAACCUGCGGCUG